rnacentral:tRNA from 1 species
GCCUUUGUGGUGUAAUGGUAGCACACUUAGAACGUAUUUCAGAGGUCCAGGUUCGAGUCCUGGCGAGGGCA